UAGGAAGCUUGGUCCCCAAUAAUGGGGUUAGUCCAGGUUUGCUAGAGUAAUUGUGGUAAUAGGAAUGCAUUUGCCACAGAAGCUACGAAUGGCCCAUUGUAUCCUAGUACAGUA
rnacentral:snoRNA from 1 species